GAGACAGUCGGAGUCGCAUGACAAUGCCCAAUAGCAUUAAACGAGACAGAUGGACUUAGCUUGUGAUGACAAGACAGUUUUGCCAUUUACAAAAAGCGGCGUGAAUCAACUUGGAGGUAAUCGGGUAUGAGAUAUUAAAGCUAGGUUUGCUACUUAGCUUUGCAUGCUACACUAUCAGAGUAGCGUGACACCAAAUGAGACAGAUUGGCUUAGCAUGUGGCUAAUGGAAGAUUGUGCCCUUUUCCCCAAAAAAAAACAAAA